GCCAGUGUGGUAUAGUGGUUUGUGUUGGACUAUGACUCUGGAGACCAGGGUUUGAAUCCUCGCUCAGUCA
rnacentral:tRNA from 1 species